CACUAAGUGACUGAAAGUAAGUGUAGGUCUUUUAAAUCUAAAAUGGUAGAUACGGCUACCCUAAGUGA
rnacentral:tRNA from 1 species